ensembl:lncRNA novel transcript
GAGUAGCUGGGACUACAGGCGUCUGCCACCAUGCAGCUAAUUUUUUGUAUUUUUUUUUUUAGUAGAGAUGGGGUUUCACCGUGUUAGCCAGGAUGGUCACGAUCUCCUGACCUCGUGAUCCGCCUGCCUCGGCCUCCCAAAGUGCUGGGAUUACCGGCAUGAGCCACCAUUUCCGGCAACAGGCAGACUUUUAACACAUUCCUUACCUAAACUUUUAAAAGGGACAAAAGAUAUAUGCCUUUGGUUUGGGAGAUGACGAAACAUAUGCUUUAAUGACUAUUGGGUUGGAAUCUUCUUGAGAGAGGAUCCUUCUUAGCCUAGACUAGAGUCUUCAAAAGCCCACAGUGCUUCGUAAAGUUUCAUACGUGGAAGAGAGAAGGAUGUUCCACUGGAAAAGCAGAAUUGCAGCUGAGCUGUCCUGAAAUGCCCAGCACUCUGUGGAGACGCGGAGGAGGUUUCCUGGGACAAAGUGCUGAACCAGGGUGAAAAUGGACUGAUACAGUAGGUGACAUGUGUCCAGCCUGCUUGGUUCCCAACUUUGCUGGAUCCAUUCUAUCUGUGGACGGAGCCACUAUCUCUGAAAGGAGAGAUCUCAUCCGCUGUCCACUGGGGAAUGGCCUUGCCCUAUGGCCCCUACCAAACAAAAACGUAGCAGAACACAGCAAAACAGCAGAGUCGGAAUGUGAAGUGCUGAUAGAGUUCCCUAACGCUGACUGUCUGCUCUGCAUUUCUGGAGAUUGUAUGCCUGUCAUCCUGCAUUCCUUGCAAAUUCAUUUCACUAGGUCCUAUUAUGAUCACCAUUCUGCAUUGGAGGAAGCCGAGUAACAGAGACAUGAGCUACAGCCACAAGCUGUCUCCACCAUCAGAUGUGGCUUACCUGGUUCCUGAGUCAAUUCCAUCCAGGUAGGAGGAAUCCUAUCAGAAAGUAUGUGAGUGCGUUUGCAGAGUGCAUUCCUGUGGAGCCCCCUUAUCUCUGGCUGCAUCUGCUUCUGCAGGGAGAAAGUAUCCCUGCUGUGAGAGGUCUGGGAUCUGGAGUACAGAGGAUGGUGAAGCCAAGGCCUGAAGACCUUUCCUGCAAGGUCGCAGAGGAAGAGGCAGAAGAAGGACCAGAACCCAGCUCCCCUGACUCCCUAUCCAGUGCUCUUCUCAUAGAUUACAUUGCUUCAGCAUCCACCUGGCUAUUGCUCCAUCCAGGGGUUACAGGAGUCACUGACUGUUUUGGUUGCUUCUUGGUUGGAGGAUGUUGUGCCUCACCGAUGAGAGCCGGAAGCAAAGGUACCAGUUCUUAGAGGAAGCAUAGGAAUGUGUCCCUUCCUGCUCGGGUCUCUCAACUGAACUCAACCCUUCCUUGAUUGAUUGACAAGCAUGUUAUCUCUCAUAAUCCCUGCCCGGUAAGGGCUGAUGUCCCCAUUUUACAGAUGAGGAUAUUGGAGCUCAGAGAAGUGAAAUGAUUGCUGAAGGUCACACAGCCUGGCUUCAAGCCUCUCGGGCUCCAAAAGGCAUCUUCUGUUCUCUCCGUCAGGAAGCCUCUUUUGGAUGAUUAACUGAGAUUAAAAAUGAAAAGACACAUGAAAGAAA